rnacentral:rRNA from 1 species
UACGAAGGGGGCUAGCGUUGCUCGGAAUCACUGGGCGUAAAGGGUGCGUAGGCGGGUCUUUAAGUCAGGGGUGAAAUCCUGGAGCUCAACUCCAGAACUGCCUUUGAUACUGGCAACCUAGAGACUGGAAGAGGUUAGUGGAAUUCCCAGUGUAGAGGUGAAAUUCGUAGAUAUUGGGAAGAACACCAGUGGCGAAGGCGGCUCACUGGCCCGAUACUGACGCUGAGGCACGAAAGCGUGGGGAGCAAACAGG